rnacentral:rRNA from 3 species
UUCUUGACGACCAUAGAGCGUUGGAACCACCUGAUCCCAUCCCGAACUCAGCAGUGAAACGAUGCAUCGCCGAUGGUAGUGUGGGGUUUCCCCAUGUGAGAGUAGGUCAUCGUCAAGAUU